rnacentral:rRNA from 1 species
AGGUAUGCUGGAGGUAUCAGAAGUGCGAAUGCUGACAUAAGUAACGAUAAUGCGGGUGAAAAACCCGCACGCCGGAAGACCAAGGGUUCCUGUCCAACGUUAAUCGGGGCAGGGUGAGUCGACCCCUAAGGCGAGGCUGAAAAGCGUAGUCGAUGGGAAACGGGUUAAUAUUCCCGUACUGGUGGUAACUGCGAUGGGGGAACGGAGAAGGCUAGGUUGUCCGGGCGACGGUCGUCCCGGUUCAAGCAUGUAGGCAGAGUGAUUAGGCAAAUCCGGUCACUUAAUGCUGAGGUGUGAUGACGAGCCACUAAGGUGGUGAAGCAAUUGAUGCCCUGCUUCCAGGAAAAGCCUCUAAGCUUCAGGUUACCAACAAUCGUACCCCAAACCGACACAGGUGGUCAGGUAGAGAAUACUCAGGCGCUUGAGAGAACUCGGGUGAAGGAACUAGGCAAAAUGGUGCCGUAACUUCGGGAGAAGGCACGCUGGCGGUAAGUGAAGUCCCUUGCGGACGGAGCCGAAGCCAGUCGAAGAUACCAGCUGGCUGCAACUGUUUAUUAAAAACACAGCACUGUGCAAACACGAAAGUGGACGUAUACGGUGUGACGCCUGCCCGGUGCUGGAAGGUUAAUUGAUGGGGUUAUCCGUAAGGAGAAGCUCUUGAUCGAAGCCCCAGUAAACGGCGGCCGUAACUAUAACGGUCCUAAGGUAGCGAAAUUCCUUGUCGGGUAAGUUCCGACCUGCACGAAUGGCGUAAUGAUGGCCAGGCUGUCUCCACCCGAGACUCAGUGAAAUUGAACUCGCUGUGAAGAUGCAGUGUACCCGCGGCAAGACGGAAAGACCCCGUGAACCUUUACUAUAGCUUGACACUGAACAUUGAGCCUUGAUGUGUAGGAUAGGUGGGAGACUUAGAAGUGUGGACGCCAGUCUGCAUGGAGUCAACCUUGAAAUACCACCCUUUAACGUUUGAUGUUCUAACCUAGGUCCAUAAUCUGGAUCGGGGACCGUGUCUGGUGGGUAGUUUGACUGGGGCGGUCUCCUCCUAAAGAGUAACGGAGGAGCACGAAGGUUGGCUAAGCAUGGUCGGACAUCAUGCGGUUAGUGCAAAGGCAUAAGCCAGCUUGACUGUGAGAGUGACGGCUCGAGCAGGUACGAAAGUAGGUCUUAGUGAUCCGGUGGUUCUGAAUGGAAGGGCCAUCGCUCAACGGAUAAAAGGUACUCCGGGGAUAACAGGCUGAUACCGCCCAAGAGUUCAUAUCGACGGCGGUGUUUGGCACCUCGAUGUCGGCUCAUCACAUCCUGGGGCUGAAGUAGGUCCCAAGGGUAUGGCUGUUCGCCAUUUAAAGUGGUACGCGAGCUGGGUUUAGAACGUCGUGAGACAGUUCGGUCCCUAUCUGCCGUGGGCGUUGGAAGAUUGAGAGGGGUUGCUCCUAGUACGAGAGGACCGGAGUGAACGCACCACUGGUGUUCGGGUUGUCAUGCCAAUGGCAUUGCCCGGUAGCUAAGUGCGGAAGAGAUAACCGCUGAAAGCAUCUAAGCGGGAAACUUGCCUCGAGAUGAGUCUUCCCUGUCACCUUGAGUGACCUAAAGGAACGUUUAAGACUAAGACGUUGAUAGGCUGGGUGUGUAAGCGUAGCGAUACGUUGAGCUAACCAGUACUAAUGAACCGUGAGGCUUAACCUG